UGUUUGCUGUGAUGGAUCACAAGGAUGGUAUCUGACUAAGAUUUCUCUUUAAAAGGGCCGUCUUCAUUGAUUAUACAUCCUAAACUGAUCAUUAGAGCAAACA